AUGGCAGUUGCUCUGGGGAAAACCACGGUCAUCAGUUGCAAGAUAAGAGAACACUCAGUUGUAUUAUUUUUUCUGAAUAAUCAAGAAGUUUCAAACCUGCCUGAUAAAAAAAUAGCUUUGUUAUCAUCUGUUGCCACACUUACCAUUAACAGUGUCCAACAAAUUCAUGGUGGAACCUACCAAUGUGCAUACUGCUUCAUAUCAGAUUUCUUUCAACAAUGCUCAAGAGUCAGUGACGGCAUGGACCUCUACNUAAGAGAUCCCAGCCUGCUCAGACCAUCCAUCGAAGUGACGUCCAGGAUGCAGAUUUCUUCACAGCUGAAUGUCACAAUCAAGUGCCAGGGAGGGGAACCUGGUCUGAAUUUCUCCCUCCAUAAAUGUGGUAAGCUGAUAGACUCCAGGCUUGCAAAGGCAAACAGCAACACAACUGAAUUCCUGUUGUCCACCAUGAGCUUGGAAGAGACAGGAAACUACACCUGUCAGUACCAUCACACGGCAAAACCUUUUGUGUGGUCAGAGCCAAGUGAUCCUGUGGAUCUAAGAGAUAUAUCUAAACGAGGGAAAUCCAGACCUAUCUUAUGGACGAGCGUUGUUGCAGGCCUGCUCCUGCUGCUUCUCCUAGUGUUGCUUGUCUUCCUAUUGUACAGAAAAAGAGAAAGAGGUAAGUUAACUUCUGGCUAA
rnacentral:lncRNA from 1 species